AGAUCUAGCCUGGAAGAUCAAUUUAGUCCAGGUGAUUGAUUGCUAGAACUCCAUACAAGGUGGUAUACAUAUUUUCACUGUUCUAUUCUUCUGCAAUGGAGGUAUAAAGGUUUUGACAGGAACAGAAGUAAUUUUCUUCUCAGUGCCUCCUUUGGUGUUAUGAUCUGGAUUUGUGAUGAUUGUAGUGGUGAUAACAGUUUUAGUUAUUGCUCAGCAGUGCUUAUUCAGAAUCAAGGGUAUUUCAUCUUCUCAAACUGACCUGCAAGUGAGGAGAACAACUGUGUGGAGCUGCCUACUGAGUAUAAGCCACAACAAGAGGAAAAAUAUAUUCCCAGAGUGCUUACAAAGCUGCAGCAGAGGGAAAUGGCUUGAAAUUUAAUGUCUGGGUCUGGUUCUCUAGGGAAGUCAUGCUGCAGCUUCCCUUUGGUAUGAUGAGGUUACAGAGGUAGUAUCUGCACCUGGCAUUCAUUCAGAUCAAGAAAAAUGUAUGAACAUAUGGUCUUAACACUGUGGAUUGAAAAAGCAGCUCUGUGUAGGUAUGCACCUGGGGUCUAUAAAAUGCUUGCUAGUUGAGAUAAUUACAGUAAAGUUUAUCAUUAAAAGAACCUGAUUUAGUUUGCAACCUUAAAAUCAGUUAUUUCUGUGUGGUAGUUCUAUGGACAUGAGUGCUUCUAUUUUUCACAUUGUCGUCUUGAACACAUGAAAGUCCUUUAGGAUGCAGUUUAAAGGACACAAACAACAGCAACAACAAAAAAAAAAACUAAGAACAAAAUGAAUUAGGAUACUAUAUGGACGUUGUUGAUGCUUUUGUCUAGAUAAGAAUGUUCUUUAUAAGAGAUUGUUAAUGUCAUGUCAGUUGAAGAUUCCUGACUUGGUUUGAAUUUCUGAAUGAAGGCCUGAAUGAACUGUUUUUGACAGAAGCGAAGACUUCCAAGGAUUUUCAUCCUCUUUGGGCUUUCCUUGGAGAGUGUAGACUUAAA